GGAAUAGCUCAGUGGUAGAGCAUCUGCUUCCCAGGUUCCCAGGUUCAGUCCUCAGCCUCUCUCUAUGCAGGUCUGGGUACACCAAUGGUGGCAUAGUGGUUAGAGUGCUGGACUAGGUCCUGGGUUCAAAUCCCCAUUAAGCCA